rnacentral:rRNA from 1 species
AUGAACGCUAGCGGCAGGCUUAACACAUGCAAGUCGAGGGGUAUAGGUUUUCGGAUCUAGAGACCGGCGCACGGGUGCGUAACGCGUAUGCAAUCUACCUUUCACAGAGGGAUAGCCCAGAGAAAUUUGGAUUAAUACCUCAUAGUAUUAUAGAAUGGCAUCAUUUUAUAAUUAAAGUCACAACGGUGAAAGAUGAGCAUGCGUCCCAUUAGCUAGUUGGUAUGGUAACGGCAUACCAAGGCAACGAUGGGUAGGGGUCCUGAGAGGGAGAUCCCCCACACUGGUACUGAGACACGGACCAGACUCCUACGGGAGGCAGCAGUGAGGAAUAUUGGUCAAUGGGCGCAAGCCUGAACCAGCCAUGCCGCGUGCAGGAUGACGGUCCUAUGGAUUGUAAACUGCUUUUGCACAGGAAGAAACAACGCUACGUGUAGCGUCUUGACGGUACUGUGAGAAUAAGGAUCGGCUAACUCCGUG